rnacentral:rRNA from 1 species
AUUGAACGCUGGCGGCAUGCCUAACACAUGCAAGUCGAACGGUAACGACGGGAGCUUGCUCCCGGGCGACGAGUGGCGGACGGGUGAGUAAUACUUAGGAAUCUGCCCAGUAGUGGGGGACAACUCGAGGAAACUCGAGCUAAUACCGCAUACGCCCUACGGGGGAAAGUGGAGGAUCUUCGGACUUCACGCUAUUGGAUGAGCCUAAGUCGGAUUAGCUUGUAGGUAGGGUAACGGCCUACCUAGGCAACGAUCCGUAGCUGGUCUGAGAGGACGAUCAGCCACACUGGAACUGAGACACGGUCCAGACUCCUACGGGAGGCAGCAGUGGGAAUAUUGGACAAUGGGCGCAAGCCUGAUCCAGCAAUGCCGCGUGUGUGAAGAAGGCCUGCGGGUUGUAAAGCACUUUCAGUAGAGAAGAAAAGCUUGCGGUUAAUACCUGUGAGUCUUGACGUAACCUACAGAAGAAGCACCGGCUAACUCCGUG